UCCCGCUUGACGCGGGCAGUCUCCCUAGAGUGCCCACCUGAAAUGAUGGCAACUAGGGACAGGGGUUGCGCUCGUUGCGGGACUUAAGGCAACACCUCACGGCACGAGCUGACGACAGCCAUGCAGCACCUGUGUUACGGCUCCCUUUCGGGCACACCCGCAUCUCUGCGGGCUUCCGUACAUGUCAAGGGUAGGUAAGGUUUUUCGCGUUGCAUCGAAUUAAUCCACAUAAUCCGCCGCUUGUGCGGGUCCCCGUCAAUUCCUUUGAGUUUUAACCUUGCGGCCGUACUCCCCAGGCGGUCAACUUCACGCGUUAGCUUCGUUACCAAGGAAUUGCUUCCCCGACAACCAGUUGACAUCGUUUAGGGCGUGGACUAC
rnacentral:misc_RNA from 1 species